ACUCCCCUAUAUAAAUGGGAAGACAAUCACCACCUGCUUUUAAUAGUUGAGGGAGGUAAUAGGGUUACCUAGAUUUUCAGUUGUGUUAGUCUCUUCUCAAUACAAGCCUAGCUUCUUUCAGGCCCUGUUGGGACAACAUUGUUUUUGUCUUACCCAAGUUACAUCUCCAUCUUACUGCUCUUCAAAGUCUUCGGUAGAUGCCCCUGCCUACAUUUCAAAGGGAGCUUCACCCUUGUAAAUGAGAGCAGAAUUUGUCCCUCUUCACUCUUUCUUAUCGAGGGUGCUUUUGAAAGGUAAAUUGGGCCCAAGGAUGUUGUCCGAUGCACAUAGAUUACCAAAUGAAAGGUGGUUAAUGAAUAUAAAAUAUGCCAAGAUUAAGCCAAAAAGGGGAACGAAGACAAUCCUUAGUCAGACUGGCUCAAAGGAAUCUGCGCUGGAAGGUGCUGCAGGUCCUUGCAGACAACUCCCAUCACCAUCUCAUCUAGAGCGUGAAGAGUUCCUCUCUUCAAACCAAAAAUGGAGAACAUGUUGGGAUACAAUAGGGUUCUCGGGCCUGCUUCUGUGACAUUUGAAUGCACUCAACUUUAUUUGAAACAGAACUGAUGGGAUCCCAAAUUCUUGAACUCCUUGAUAAAAUUCACUUGCUCAGCUCAAUGGUGUAGAGUUCUUCUGAUCUUCUAAAGUGAAAUUAAUUGACACUUUGAACUGAAGGGGGGGGAACCCCAAACCUGGCUUGAUUCUGUUUUGGGUGAGGGCCAUCUCAGAAUGGCUAAGACUUGAGGAGGAAGGAUGGUCAAGUGGCUAAGGACCAGCUUGAGACCUGGGUUCAAUUGCCUGCUCUGUCAAAGUCUCAUAGACUUUACGGUCACAAGGGACCAUCAUGUCUCUGUGCCUCAAUUCACCAUCUAAUGGGGUAUUUGCGAGGAGCUCAGAUACUAUGGUAAUAGAGGCCAUGUUAGAUGUAUCAUGUUGUAAUCUAGAGUAAUAGAUCAGAAGCUAGUAUUGCUACAGUUCAGUGGCUAUUGUAUUCACUUUUAUCAACUCCCCUGGGAGAAACUGACAGUCAGAAUGCUGCAUCAAAGAUUAAUGGAAGAACUUCAGCUUGACAGAAAACAUGCAGACCCACAAAAAAAUGUUUGGCCUCUAAGCGGUAACGGAGGAGCAUGCUUAAGUAUGGAGGAGCAGGUAAGAUGGUAUAGUAGCUUACCAGACUGGAGGAACAAAGAAAGAAGCAUUAACUCUAGAAUGAAGAGGUUUGGUUAGUUUAAUGCUGGUAAGUUUCAGAUAAGCAUCUAAAUUCUGCGUGCCUGUCUGAACACAAGCUCCAUACCUUCCCCUGGUGUAACUCCACGUAUUGUCUAGAAGGAAAAAGAAAAUGAUGAUUUACCUCUUCAAGGCAACAAAUGCAAGGAAGUUCAGAGUUAAACAUGUCAUUAGAGCUGAUUGGGAAACAGUUUUUCUUGCAAAAAUUUACUUUUCUUCAAAAACAUGAGAAGCAAAAAUGUUAGUUUCAGACAUUUUUGGCCACAAACUGAAACAUGUUCAGUUUUUGGAGGAAAAAUGAAAAAAAAAGUCCGUUUUCCUCAAUCCAUGACACUUUGGUUUAAUCAAAACACCUAAAGUUUUAACAGAAAAUGUUCAACCUGUCCCACAUUGUUCUGAAAUAAUAACUUAGUAUUUAGCACAUCUGCAGUUGUGAUGAGCCGUCUGCAGCAUAAUUCAAGGAUGAAACAGUGCAAUUCUUUUGGUCCUAAUUAAUUUUCAGUGGAAUGAUUAUUCAAUCACUAAAUGGCUUUGAGUUGCUCUGAGCUCUGUUCCAAUUUCGUAAUCUCGGAAGCAUAUAACCACAGUGUAAAAUGUAACAGUUAUACUUAGACUAUAAAGACUUCACCUUGA